UUUCAUCUUGGUGUGUGUGUUCUCUCUCUCUCUCUCUCAUCAUUAGCUCUGGGGGAGGCCGGCUCUCACUUCAUAAGCAGUAUUAUGGAGAGACACAUUUGGUGAGGGACUGAGGCUUCUUGCCAACAACCAAGUGCGGAGCUGGGAAGGGGAUCCUCCAGCUCAGAAAGCUGGUGAAGAGUGAGAGAAAGUGCAAACCAAGGGAGCAGCAGAGGGAGAGGGAGACUGAGCAGGGAGCCCAGAUGCAGAACUUGAUCCCAGGAUCCCAGGAUCAUAACCUGAGCCGAAGGCAGACAUUUCAACAACUGAGCCACUCAGGUACUCCUAAGGUCACAGUGAGACAGUUCCUGGCAUGUUAAUUUGGCCAUUCACCAUGAGCAGCUGGCAGCAAUAAUAAAACCUUGUGGUAUUCGAGC
rnacentral:lncRNA from 1 species